rnacentral:rRNA from 1 species
CACGUAGGGGGGCGGGCGUGUCCGGAUUUAUUGGGCGUAAAGAGCUCGUAGGUGGCUCGGUAAGUCGGGUGUGAAAAUUUCGAGGCUCAACCUCGAAAACGCCACCUGAUACUGCUGUGGCUAGAGUCCGGUAGGGGGAGCGUGGAAUUCCUGGUGUAGCGGUGAAAUGCGCAGAUAUCAGGAGGAACACCAGCGGCGAAGGCGGCGCUCUGGGGCCGGUACUGACACUGAGGAGCGAAAAGCGUGGGGGAUCAAACAGG